CCCCGGCUUGUCCCCUCCCCUUGAGCAAAAAACAUAGAGUUGAACCACUUGCAAAAGACAUUCCUCGACAACUUCUCUAGACCAGAACGAGUUUCCAAAAUGCAAAAUACAUCUAACUUAACUAAAUUAGACAGAAAUUUAAAUUGCGGGGCAAAAUCAGGUCUACCCCAUCCCCUGCAGUUCCAAACUAAGCACUUCACCAAUCCACAUCUUCCACCACAAAGCCUGAUCCAUUCUCAUCACCACUGUUCCUUACCCUCUUCCUACUUCCUCCAAUCUGCAGCAACUCCAAAUUCUCCUCUUCAGCCUCCAUAAACUCAUCCUCUUCUUCAACAGCAGCCUUCCGCUUUCCAUUGCUCGAUUCACCAAACCGAUUACCUCCCACUAUUUCAUCAUCAACCAGAGCACAAUCGGGUCUCCACUUAGACACCAAAUCUGCUUUCGAAACCCAGGUUCUAUUCCCUCUAACAACCUUAUCAGACGAUCGACCAUCUCUCCUAACCCUACUCCUGCCUCUGCUCGCAGACCUACACUUCCUCGAAGCCACUGUAGUCCAUCCAGAGGGGGCGUUAAGGGGGAGCGCAAUGUGCACUCGUACAGGACCCCUAAUUUGAAGGGCCUUUUGCUAUUUAGCGUCAUGUAAUAAUAUUUUAUAUUUAAAAAAUUACUUUUAUUAGCAUUUUAAACCGCAUUGUGCACUCCCUAUAAGAGUUUUUUUCUUUCUUUUUAAAUAUAAAAACUUGGAGUACAAUAAAAUAUUUUGACUAUCAAUAAUAACAUCCUGAAAAACAGCAUUUUCUUAUUUUUAUUAUAUAGCAACGUUAUACAUUCAAGUGAAACUUUAAAGUUAGAUAUUUGAUGUUUUUUUUUCAUGUUUGGUUGUUUAAGAUAAAAUUGUUUUUUAUUAUUUAGUGAAGGUUAUGUUUGUAGUUUUUUUACUUAUCAUAAAGGACAUUUGUAAAUAUGCAAUGAGUGUGUGUUAAAGUU
rnacentral:lncRNA from 1 species